AAUCUCGAAAGCCUGUCUCAGUUCGGAUUGGAGGCUGAAACCCGCCUCCAUGAAGUUGGAUUCGCUAGUAAUCGCGCAUCAGCCAUGGCGCGGUGAAUACGUUCCCGGGCCUUGUACACACCGCCCGUCAAGCCAUGGGAGCCGGGGGUGCCUGAAGUUCGUGACCGCAAGGAGCGACCUAGGGCAAAACUGGUGACUGGGGCUAAGUCGUAACAAGGUACC
rnacentral:rRNA from 1 species